GACGAACGCUGGCGGCGUGCUUAACACAUGCAAGUCGAACGGGUCUGCCCUGUUUUUUGCGGGGUGGGUCAGUGGCGAACGGGUGAGUAACACGUGAGUAACCUGCCCCUCACUUCUGGAUAACCGCUUGAAAGGGUGGCUAAUACGGGGUGUUCUGGCUGUGCCGCAUGGUGUGGCUGGGAAAGAUUCACUUUUGUGGUGUUUUGGUGGGGGAUGGGCUCGCGGCCUAUCAGCUUGUUGGUGGGGUGAUGGCCCGCCAAGGGUUUGACGGGUAGCCGGCCGGAGAGGGUGGGCGGUCCAACUGGGACUGAGCUACCGGCCGGACUCCUGAGGGAGCCAGCAGUGGGAGGUAUUGCACGAUGGGCAGAAGGCUGAUGAAGCGACGUCGCGUGAGGGAUGGAGGCCUUCGGGUUGUGAACCUCUUUCGCCGGUGAAGAAGGUCCUGCUCUUUGUGGUGGGGUUGACAGUAGCCGGGUUAUGAAGCGCCGGCUAACUACGUG
rnacentral:rRNA from 1 species